GACGAACGCUGGCGGCGUGCUUAACACAUGCAAGUCGAACGCUGAAGCUCAGCUUUUGUUGGGUGGAUGAGUGGCGAACGGGUGAGUAACACGUGAGUAACCUGCCUCCUUCUUUGGGAUAACGCCCGGAAACGGGUGCUAAUACUGGAUAUUACCUGGUCUUCGCAUGGGGGUUGGUGGAAAGGGUUUUUCUGGUGGGGGAUGGGCUCGCGGCCUAUCAGAUUGUUGGUGGGGUGAUGGCCUACCAAGGCUUUGACGGGUAGCCGGCCUGAGAGGGUGACCGGUCACGUUGGGACUGAUAUACGGCCCAGACUCCUACGGGAGUCAGCAGUGGGGAAUAUUGCACAAUGGGCGCAAGCCUGAUGCAGCGACGCCGCGUGAGGGAUGGAGGCCUUGAGGUUGUGAACCUCUUUCGCACAUGGUCAAGCCGCAACAAUGGUUGUGGUGAGGGUAGUGGGUAAAGAAGCGCCGGCUAACUACGUG
rnacentral:rRNA from 1 species